rnacentral:piRNA from 1 species
UAGCAAAUACAAUUUCAACUUUAUUUCCAAAG